rnacentral:rRNA from 1 species
UACGUAGGGUGCAAGCGUUAAUCGGAAUUACUGGGCGUAAAGCGUGCGCAGGCGGUCCGUUAAGACAGAUGUGAAAUCCCCGGGCUUAACCUGGGAACUGCAUUUGUGACUGGCGGACUCGAGUAUGGCAGAGGGUGGUAGAAUUCCACGUGUAGCAGUGAAAUGCGUAGAGAUGUGGAGGAAUACCGAUGGCGAAGGCAGCCCCCUGGGCUAACACUGACGCUCAGGCACGAAAGCGUGGGGAGCAAACAGG